rnacentral:tRNA from 1 species
GCCGUAGCUCAGUGGUUGAUCAUCCGCUUGGCACGCAUAAGGUUCUAGGUUCAAUCCCUGGCAUCUCCA